AGAAGAAGAGAAGGGAAGAGGGAGGAAAGAUGGCUGGAUUGUUAGAGUUUCUCUAGCACAAAAGGACACCAACAAGGGGAAAAGAAAGAGAGUGGUCUGAAAAGCAAAAAAAUUGUGAGACAAAUGGAGAAGAUGGUGAAUAGGAGCAGAAACAGGAGUUGAGCAGGGGCAGUAAAUUUGUCUUCCUUCUAGGUGAGUUUGGU
rnacentral:misc_RNA from 1 species